rnacentral:rRNA from 1 species
AAGAAGCGAAAGUGACGGUACCUGCAGAAGAAGCGCCGGCUAACUACGUGCCAGCAGCCGCGGUAAUACGUAGGGCGCAAGCGUUAUCCGGAAUUAUUGGGCGUAAAGAGCUCGUAGGCGGUUUGUCGCGUCUGCCGUGAAAGUCCGGGGCUCAACUCCGGAUCUGCGGUGGGUACGGGCAGACUAGAGUGAUGUAGGGGAGACUGGAAUUCCUGGUGUAGCGGUGAAAUGCGCAGAUAUCAGGAGGAACACCGAUGGCGAAGGCAGGUCUCUGGGCAUUAACUGACGCUGAGGAGCGAAAGCAUGGGGAGCGAACAGGAUUAGAUACCCUGGUAGUCCAUGCCGUAAACGUUGGGCACUAGGUGUGGGGGACAUUCCACGUUUUCCGCGCCGUAGCUAACGCAUUAAGUGCCCCGCCUGGGGAGUACGGCCGCAAGGCUAAAACUCAAAGGAAUUGACGGGGGCCCGCACAAGCGGCGGAGCAUGCGGAUUAAUUCGAUGCAACGCGAAGAACCUUACCAAGGCUUGACAUGAACCGGUAAGACCUGGAAACAGGUCCCCCGCUUGCGGUCGGUUUACAGGUGGUGCAUGGUUGUCGUCAGCUCGUGUCGUGAGAUGUUGGGUUAAGUCCCGCAACGAGCGCAACCCUCGUUCUAUGUUGCCAGCACGUGAUGGUGGGGACUCAUAGGAGACUGCCGGGGUCAACUCGGAGGAAGGUGGGGACGACGUCAAAUCAUCAUGCCCCUUAUGUCUUGGGCUUCACGCAUGCUACAAUGGCCGGUACAAAGGGUUGCGAUACUGUGAGGUGGAGCUAAUCCCAAAAAGCCGGUCUCAGUUCGGAUUGGGGUCUGCAACUCGACCCCAUGAAGUCGGAGUCGCUAGUAAUCGCAGAUCAGCAACGCUGCGGUGAAUACGUUCCCGGGCCUUGUACACACCGCCCGUCAAGUCACGAAAGUUGGUAACACCCGAAGC